AAUGUGUGUCCUUCAUUGUAAAUGCACACCAAAGGUCCAGUUCAGCUCUAGGUCUAGGGUUCCACUGUUUCCCGCUCUAUAUAUCUCCCCUCCCAAAGAGCUCCGUCUAUCCAUGGCGCCCACCUCCUCUUUUCUCCGCCCAAGACAAUUUUUUUCUACCCACAUACUCAACAUUGCUCAAUAUUCAUAUUAAUGAGAAUAUGAUUCCUUACAACCAAAGACAAAGCAGCUCCUACAAUUACCACCGUCUGUUCAUUGUUUUGAUUUAGUGAUGGCUCCAUACGAGUCAGCAGCAGGUGCCCGUUCCCAUGGCAACCCGUCUGCCGCUUGGAGCCUACAUUGAUAUUCCGGUUUGAAGAUCCACGAAAACCUUUUUCUCUUGUUUCGUGAUACAAUAAACUGGAUUCUCCGGCCCUCCUUCUGUUUCUAGAGAUGAAGAUUCGCGCCUGCUUUUGAUUCAGAGUUGGAUGUUGCUUCUCUUUCUUCAUCAUGAUUUGUUGUUUCUUGUGAUCUUUUUGCCGUUUUGUGUGCUGUGAUGAUGCAAAUUUAUGUGGACUAGAGUUUCUGAUCUUGCAGUUGAAGACUAACCCUUGGCUGUCUGAGCACACCCCCAUUUCUACCCAAUUUCCCGAUUCCUCUUUUUGAUAAAAUCUUUCUUUCAUUCGAAAGUAAACAUUUUCGGCUUGUGAUGAUAAAUUAAUUAUCUUAGCGGAUUUCAGUGAGAUUAUUCCAAAUAAUCAAGGAUCUGAUUGUUACACACACUGAAGCCUUCUGUUCCUCUCAUCCUAUAGUUUUUCCAUUUUUAUUUAUUCUGUAUAUUUCUUUUUAUUUGAAUUUUUCCUAUGCAAUGAUGAGUCUAAGCACCAUUUGGUGUUUCAGGGCAGUGGAUUAAGGUCCGUGAGCCCACUGAAUUAACGACUUCUCCUUCCACUGAGCAAAUCCUUGUUUCCUGUUAUUACUUUUAUAUUAUUAUACUAGUAACUCUGCUUGGUUCUUUGAAAAAAUCUGUAGGUUUAUUAAUUAUUCUGGCUUGUACUUGUGGUCUUUACCAAGAAUUUCUCCCAUUUCUGUCGUGGGUAAGUUAGUUUCUCAUAAUACAGCAAUUUUUUCAUUGUUACUCGUCGAUGCUCUAUGUUUUUAUCGGUUGAAAAGUUGUGUAUGAUGUGAAGAUGGUGAUUUCUGUUGAGGAAGAUUGCGUCCAUUACCAAUUCUGGGGGAUAAUCUGUUCCUCUUGGCAUAAUGGCUCGGACGCAAUAUCCAACCUGUGGCUAUCCUGAUCAAUGGCUUUUCUUCCAUACCAUUAGAUCCCGGAAACACCACAAACAUUCUUGGAAUAAACAUUUCGAUUUCUUGAUGCAGAACAAUAUAUCUCAGUAGCCUAUUGCUUUCGUGAGGCGUUGCGUUUAUUGGCCAUCCAAUUGACGUGUCAAUGAAAGCAAAGAUUAAUGGUAUUGUAGCCCACCAGGUUGAUAAUGUAGCAUCUGUAAUUUUGUUUCAGCUUGCUAGAUUGUCUGGGGUGCAACAAAAAUUUAAUCUUGAAUAUAUUUGUUCUUGAAUGGCCUUUUUCUUUUAAAACAUUGGAAAUGUAUUUUUGAUUUUUAA